rnacentral:rRNA from 1 species
UACGUAGGGUGCAAGCGUUAAUCGGAAUUACUGGGCGUAAAGCGUGCGCAGGCGGUGAUGUAAGACAGGUGUGAAAUCCCCGGGCUCAACCUGGGAACUGCAUUCAAAACUGACGAGCUAGAGUAUGGUAGAGGGUGGUGGAAUUUCCUGUGUAGCGGUGAAAUGCGUAGAUAUAGGAAGGAACACCAGUGGCGAAGGCGGCUACCUGGACCAGCACUGACACUGAGGCACGAAAGCGUGGGGAGCAAACAGG